rnacentral:rRNA from 1 species
AACGAACGCUGGCGGCAUGCCUAACACAUGCAAGUCGAACGAAACCUUCGGGGCUAGUGGCGCACGGGUGCGUAACGCGUGGGAACCUGCCCUUAGGUUCGGAAUAACUCCCCGAAAGGUGUGCUAAUACCGGAUAAUGUCUUCGGGCCAAAGAUUUAUCGCCUUUGGAUGGGCCCGCGUUGGAUUAGCUAGUUGGUAGGGUAAAAGCCCACCAAGGCGACGAUCCAUAGCUGGUCUGAGAGGAUGACCAGCCACACUGGGACUGAGACACGGCCCAGACUCCUACGGGAGGCAGCAGUGGGGAAUAUUGGACAAUGGGCGAAAGCCUGACCCAGCCAUGCCGCGUGAGUGAUGAAGGCCUUAGGAUUGUAAAGCUCUUUUACCCGGGAUGAUAAUGACGGUACCGGGAGAAUAAGCUCCGGCUAACUCCGUG